rnacentral:lncRNA from 1 species
UCAUCACAUUACUCAUUCAUAGGUGAUAAAGAUGAUAAUGACUUUGACUUUAGCCAUGUGAGCUGAAGUUCCUAUGACGGUGAAGUGGAGCAAGAAUGAACUGAUACAAACACAGGAAAUUCAGACCUCCUUGAUUCAGAUGACAAAGAAAACAGCGAAGAACAAGUUGGCCAACAUAGGAACUGUACACAAGAA